CAGCCGCCGCGGUAAUACGUAGGUGGCAAGCGUUAUCCGGAAUUACUGGGUGUAAAGGGAGCGUAGACGGUUAAACAAGUCUGAAGUGAAAUGCCGGGGCUCAACCCCGGAGCUGCUUUGGGAACUGUAGAACUGGAGUGUCGGAGGGGUAAGCGGAAUUCCCAGUGUAGCGGUGAAAUGCGUAGAUAUUGGGAGGAACACCGGCGGCGAAGGCGGCUUACUGGACGACAACUGACGUUGAGGCUCGAAGGCGUGGGUAGCAAACUGGAUUAGAUACCCCGGUAGUCCCUGUCUCUUAUCC
rnacentral:rRNA from 1 species